CAUUAUGACGAUUUCAUUUCUAUUUUAGGAAACAAUUGCUUGUUAUUAUUAUCUGGACGUCGAUUGUAUCUUGAAACAAGAUGAAAAUUAUGAAAGUGAAACAGAUUUAGACAUAUUUCGACAUAUAGAAUAAAUAACGUAAAAAAGGCAGGAAAGGAAGAAGGGAAAGAAAGGGAGGGAGUAAGGACGAUGGAAAAGAGUAAGGGAGGAAAGGGGAAGAAAGAGAGAGAGAAUUUUAUAAUAAUCCAGUUACAUAAUAAUAGAAAUAACAAGUAAUAUAUUUAACAAGGCUGCUUGAUACAAUUCGCGGCAGCUAUGAUAUUCGCUAUAAUGAUCAUGUGAGAACGGUCGUGCGACGCGUAUAUGACUCGAAAACCACCUCACUUAUAAAUUGAACAGUUCAGCAUUUACAGAGUAUAUCAAUAAUCAAAGAGAGUAACAGAAAUUUCUUCAUAAUAUUCACGGCACUGGCGCAGUAGUACGAGCUUAUGAGAUUACAAUACAAUAUUUAAUAUUCAUAAUCAAUUUUUAUAUUUAAGAUUGUCUUAAGUCAGAUUUCAAGUUGUUUUAAGAUGCUCAAUAAUAAAAUAGCCAUAUAGCAUCUUGAAUUCAUACUUAAGAUGAUCUUAAAUAUAAGAACUGAUUAUGAAUACUAAUCUAAGAGAAUUCACACAAUUGUAUAAUAAAAACGACUAAUAACUAUGUGAUAGCCAAAGAAUUCACAAUAAUAUAAAUAUCGAACGCGACGGAUGAACAUAAUACAUGGCAAUAAAAAUACAAAAUAACGCGUGGCGCUGAUGUUGAGAACUCAAAAUUUGUAAGACGAUCAGAAGAAACGACACGGCAGUCAACACUUAUACUCCAGUGAACAUCAAUUAACAGUAACAUUACGUCAAUAUAACUUUCUGUUCAGUAAUGUAAAUACAAUGUAACUGUUAUAUUUUAAUCAAAUAUAUUUGAUACGGAAAAAAUAUUACAACAACAGUCAAGAACGAUCAGUGAAUUUAGCCAAGUAAUAAUCUAGGGAGAAAUAAUAAGCAGGAACGCACUAAUGACUGAUCAAUGGAUAUAUAUUAUCAAUGGGCGAUAUUUAAACAAACAAAAAAAUAUUAAUAUAAGCAUUAAUAUAUAAUUAACGACAUAUCAUAUGUUACACAUAUAUUACGUAAUAGUCAUGUUGUUAAGUGGAAAAUUAUAACAUUGAUGUUAUGUUACUAUUAGUUAAUGUUUAUUGGGACGGAAGAUUACGCUCUCCAGAGCAGAAAUACAAAAUGAUAUGAUGGCCUUAUCGCAUAUGUGUGAUCCAUCUAACUUAAGACGGAAUUGAUAAAUAGAUUUAUAAAUAGAUUGUUCGUUUUUCCAACUUGACAUAGUGAAUUCGAAGCGGAUGUUCGUUCUUGCUCCUGUAUCCUCACAAUUCGGCAACUACAAUGUGUUCCCUAAAAUUUCUGGAAAACACACAAGCGAUCAUUCGCAAUAAUUUCGCAAUAAUGUUGCAGCCGUAUUGGCUAGAUUAGAUAAUCGCGCGGAUCCUAACUCGCCACGCGCAUCUUGCGUCCUUGUAGGAAACUCAAAUUUCGAUAGCGUCUUACGGCAAUCCUGCUUUCCUGAUUUUUCCUGACAGAAUCAUCGAUCACUCGACGCUUCUUUGAGAAUAAAGAACGGCAUUCUUCUUUAAAUUCGAGAUUGAAUUUUAACCGAGAGUUUCUGGCUAGUGCUUCGAUUUUAAAGUCUUCAUAUUUAAUCUUGCGUGGAAUGCCUUUCCUUUCAAUGUUUCCUUCCCUUUUCGCUCAUCACGAAAGUUGACAUUUAUCUCGCUGCAAAUAAAUUGAGUACAAUAGUAACGGUUUUUUAAAACAAUACAGCCGAAUGCAAUAAGGACAAUACAAUCUGUACGUUUUCAACAGUAGUGUUUU
rnacentral:lncRNA from 1 species